rnacentral:lncRNA from 1 species
UCAGGUACCGCAGUGUAUCAGCACAUCUUUCUAAAGGAGUUUCAAAGAACCGAAGAAUGUGCUCCUUUAAACAGUUGCUUUUUUCUCUGUUCCUCAGCUUCCUCCACCACGAGUCAGCCUCCUCAUUUUCUGCAGCAUUUUCCAUCUGUGUCAUUGGCGUAGUACACACGUGCCUGACCUAGAUGUUUACUGGCAUUUGCAGCAUCGUGAUUAUCUUCCUCAUCAUUAUCUUUGAAGCCCAACUGAAAUGAUGCCCUGUAACUACGGGUCUGUGAGUUGUUUUGGAACAGGAUGUAUCAGCCUGUCAGCAUUGUUUGCAACAGAACUGAAGAAUAGCAAUUUCCCCGAGAGAGAGAGAGUGAAAGAAAAACUUGUGGUGGAAGCCAGCCAUCAGCAACUCCUAGAGCCAUCCACCUGUUACCCUGGCAUCAGGGAAAGUACAUUAGGUAAUUCAGAUUCUCCUGGGCUCAAAUCCUCGUCUCUGCUGCACAUGACAUCCAAGGCACGUGGUCAGGUAAUUCCCACUCUAGCCUCUGCUUUGAGGGGCUAUGGACUUGGAAUUGAGCUGAAAAGUGUAACUUUCUCCCUCACAUUGUCAUCCCAGGUCCAACCAAGUUGGUCCUUGACCAGUAGUCCCAAGCUUGCACUUGACAGCUAA